rnacentral:rRNA from 1 species
UACAGAGGGGGCAAGCGUUAUUCGGAAUUAUUGGGCGUAAAGGGCGCGUAGGCGGUGGUUUAAGUGAGAUGUGUAAUCCCCGGGCUUAACUUGGGAACUGCAUCUCAGACUGGAUCGCUAGAGUGCUGGAGAGGGCGGUGGAAUUCCACGUGUAGCGGUGAAAUGCGUGGAGAUGUGGAGGAACACCAGUGGCGAAGGCGGCCACCUGGACAGUGACUGACGCUGAGGCGCGAAAGUGUGGGGAG